GACCGCGUAGCUCACUAAGUUGGCAGAGCAUUGGGCUAGAAUUCCAAAGGUCGUAGGUUCGAUUCCCACCGUGGCCA